rnacentral:tRNA from 1 species
GGGGUUGUGGUUCAGUGAUAGAGUGCUUGCCUCACACGCAUGAGGCACUGAGUUUGAUCCUCAGCACCA